rnacentral:rRNA from 1 species
AUUAAAUCAGUUAUCGUUUAUUUGAUAGUACCUUACUACUUGGAUAACCGUGGUAAUUCUAGAGCUAAUACAUGCUAAAAAUCCCGACUUCGGAAGGGAUGUAUUUAUUAGAUUAAAAACCAAUGCCCUUCGGGGCUCACUGGUGAUUCAUGAUAACUUCUCGAAUCGCAUGGCCUUGCGCCGGCGAUGGCUCAUUCAAAUUUCUGCCCUAUCAACUUUCGACGGCUGGGUCUUGGCCAGCCAUGGUGACAACGGGUAACGGAGGGUUAGGGCUCGACCCCGGAGAAGGAGCCUGAGAGACGGCUACUACAUCCAAGGAAGGCAGCAGGCGCGCAAAUUACCCAAUCCCGACACGGGGAGGUAGUGACGAUAAAUACUGAUACAGGGCUCUUUUGGGUCUUGUAAUUGGAAUGAGUACAAUUUAAAUCCCUUAACGAGGAACAAUUGGAGGGCAAGUCUGGUGGACUCUAGUCUCAUUUAUGCUGCUAGCGCCAGAAAUAGUAGGGCGAGUAUGUCGGCAUACGAGCCCUGCUAGUCGAGCACCCGUGCAUGCUGCGGGCGGGUGCCGGCGACACAACCUGGAUCGGGGAAGGCUAAGGGCUACCGCCUAUGCUAAUCCCGAGCGGAGCCCCUGGGGAGCGAUCCCUUUGCGGCCCGUGUAAAGCGCGCCAAGGUGUGGGCUUCUCUGCUUUAGCGAGCAGGAGGCUUAAGGUACGUGCCGUCCGCCGGGAAACCGGAUUCUUGU